GCCUACGGGGGGCAGCAGUGAGGAAUAUUGGUCAAUGGCCGUAAGGCUGAACCAGCCAAGUCGCGGGAAGGAAGAAGGAUCUAUGGUUUGUAAACUUCUAUCAACAGGGACGAAAGAAAUGACGGUACCUGAAUAAGAAGCCCCGGCUAACUACGUGCCAGCAGCCGCGGUAAUACGUAGGGGGCAAGCGUUAUCCGGAAUUACUGGGUGUAAAGGGUGAGUAGGCGGCAUGGUAAGCCAGAUGUGAAAGCCUUGGGCUUAACCCGAGGAUUGCAUUUGGAACUAUCAAGCUAGAGUACAGGAGA
rnacentral:rRNA from 1 species